rnacentral:misc_RNA from 1 species
AGACCACACCAUACAGCAAACAUAGUAUAAACAUUGUCAUAGAGAGUACAGCUGAUAGCAGCUUGUAAUAUUCUAGCAUUACUUUGGUAGCAUCCCUCUACAAAACAUAGCAGACAUCACCAGCUCUUCAUCUUGGCCAUACACAUUCAACAUGGUUUGCUAGUGACAGACCACACUGACCAGAACAUUUCGUCUCCUCAGUAGGCACCAGCUGCCAUGAGCAGCUCAUCAAGGCUCCAGAUGCCCUCGUUGCUUGCCCCGUCUUGUGUAGCAUCAUUUUGCAGAAGGUUGUCCAUUGAUUCAUCUGAGCUGCUCUCAACAUAAGGUAAUGGCAAAUACUUCAUCUCGGGAUCGAAGGUGGGCAUGUUUUGUGCGAGAUUAGGCAUGCCAUUUCCCUGGGGCACGGCGAUACCAUAGUUGUUCCUCAUUCUCUUUGGCGCUCCACCUGUCAGGUAAGCAGGUUCACCAUAUGCUGGCAUGGCAGCAUUAGGAACGAAGACUGAAGUGUAGUCUGGGGUCAGGGUGUCAUCCUCCCAACCAAAGUCUGAAGAGCCAAAUGAGUUGCUGCUCGUAUCAGAGAGCAUGUUCAUCUCGAAUGUCUCAGUGGAAGCAAG